GAUGAACGCUGACAGAAUGCUUAACACAUGCAAGUCGAUGGGGAAGGCUGAGCUUGCUUAGCUGGUAACCAUGGCGGACGGGUGAGUAACGCGUAAGGAACUUACCUGCGGGACUGGGAUAACGGAGGGAAACUUCUGACAAGACCGGAUAAAGUUACUGGGCAGCAUUGUUUGGUAAUGAAAGGAGACGCCUGCGGAGAGUCUUGCGUCCUAUUAGCUAGUUGGUUGGGUAACGGCUGACCAAGGCGAAGAUAGGUAGCCGGCCUGAGAGGGUGGACGGCCACAAGGGGACUGAGAUACGGCCCUUACUCCUACGGGAGGCAGCAGUGGGGAAUAUUGGACAAUGGGGGCAACCCUGAUCCAGCAAUUCUGUGUGCACGAAGAAGGUUUUCGGAUUGUAAAGUGCUUUCAGCAGGGA
rnacentral:rRNA from 1 species